CCACAGCGACACCGUCAGGCGGGCGGGAGCUAACCAACAGUCCACAUUGGCUUGGCUGGCUGACUCCUGCUAGCUUGGUACACGUUAGCCUGGCUGCCAACGAACACACCACGAACAGACACGUAGCCCAGUAGACACGCCGCGACCCUGCCGCUGGAUACCGGGCACAUGUUCGGUUCCUCCGGAGCCACUACUUGGGGGAGGAAGAAAUGCUAUCCACGAAUAGGCAUCUGAGCACCGCGGACUAAAAAAAAACAAAAAACAAAGCUCCCGAUCCAGCCAUGUUCGGCACAGAGUCGUCACUAAGCAUGUUUCUCAACACCCUGACACCCAAGUUCUACGUGGCUCUUACGGGCACCUCCUCCCUCAUAUCAGGACUCAUUUUGGUAAGAGCACACUUUGU